UCCACGCAGUAAACGAUGUCUAUUAGAAUUUUGUGGCUAUAUGCCGUGGGAUUCAAAGCUAACGCAUUAAAUAGACCGCCUGGGGAGUACGGCCGCAAGGUUAAAAUUCAAAUGAAUUGACGGGGGCCCGCACAAGCGGUGGAGCAUGUGGUUUAAUUCGAUGCAACGCGAAGAACCUUACCAUCCCUUGACAUCCAGAGAAUCACCUAGAGAUAGAUGAGUGCCUUCGGGAACUCUGAGACAGGUGCUGCAUGGCUGUCG
rnacentral:rRNA from 1 species